GACGUAGGGCGCGAGCGUUGUCCGGAUUUAUUGGGCGUAAAGAGCUCGUAGGCGGCUUGUCGCGUCGAAUGUGAAAACCCAGGGCUCAACCCUGGGCCUGCAUUCGAUACGGGCAGACUAGAGUAUGGCAGGGGAGACUGGAAUUCCUGGUGUAGCGGUGAAAUGCGCAGAUAUCAGGAGGAACACCGGUGGCGAAGGCGGGUCUCUGGGCCAAAACUGACGCUGAGGAGCGAAAGCGUGGGGAGCGAACAGG
rnacentral:rRNA from 1 species